rnacentral:tRNA from 3 species
CCCGGGUGAUGCGGUGGCGCCGCCCGCGCUGGGGCGCCCGGCUGGGCGUCGAACCCGUGACGGCGCUGCUGUUCGAGGCGACAACCCUGGGC